GUGGGGAAUCUUGCGCAAUGGGCGAAAGCCUGACGCAGCCAUGCCGCGUGGAUGAUGAAGGUCUUAGGAUUGUAAAAUCCUUUCACCGGUGAAGAUAAUGACUGUAGCCGGAGAAGAAGCCCCGGCUAACUUCGUGCCAGCAGCCGCGGUAAUACGAAGGGGGCUAGCGUUGCUCGGAAUUACUGGGCGUAAAGGGAGCGUAGGCGGACAUUUAAGUCAGGGGUGAAAUCCCGAGGCGCAACCUCGGAACUGCCUUUGAUACUGGGUGUCUUGAGUGUGAGAGAGGUGAGGGGAACUCCGAGUGUAGAGGUGAAAUUCGUAGAUAUUCGGAAGAACACCAGUGGGGAAGGCGACUCACUGGCUCAUUACUGACGCUGAGGCUCGAAAGCGUGGGGAGCAAACAGGAUUAGAAACCCUGGUAGUCC
rnacentral:rRNA from 1 species